UCUGGUAGUUAUGGCGAGACGGGCACACCCGUUCCCAUCCCGAACACGGUAGUUAAGCUUCUCUGCGCCAAUGGUAGUUGGGGGCUUCCCCCUGCGAGAGUAGGUCGCUGCCGGGC
rnacentral:rRNA from 1 species